ACCUUCUUCUAAUAGGUAAAGCCUUAACCAUUUACUCUAUGCUACUGUACUAUAUACCAUAUUAAACCAUACUGUACUGUACCCUACCAUAAUGUACCAUGCCGUGCAGUACUAUAUCAUUCUGGGUAUCAACAAGUAACUAUAGUAGCAAUACUCCAGUAGUUUUGAGGUUGAAUAUCAUUCUGGUUUGAACAUGUUGAGAUUCUUAUAAGAUAUCUAGAUGUAUAAGUAUUCAUUUAUUAACUAGAUUAUGUUCAGUUAUUGUAGUGACAAAGAUGUACAUAUGGCCAAUGUGAAUAAUUUAGUGUCCAAUUAAGGAUUGUGUAUUUCAUCUAGUGUAUGUAACUUAAGUUUCUUUCCUUCUAGUACUGUACAUUUUCUCUUCCACUUUAUAACAAGUGGAAGAGAAAUGUAUAGUACUAGAGCUGGUUGCUUUAAGAAAAUAGUAAUAAAGACCCAGUUACUUUAAUAAAGUAUCAUUUGACUUGUUGUUUGAUUUACUGUUAGUUUUAGAGGAAAUAAUGUGAAAUGAUUUAAGAAGGGGUAUGGGCAAAUUGGGAAGUGUAUAGAGGAGAGUGAUUAGGGAUAUAAAAACACAUCAAAAAGAGCAGGAAGAGGAACUGAGAUUGUUUUAUUUGAAGGAGAGAUGACUCAAGGAGAUAUGAAACUCUGUUAAAAUCUACUCUUUAUAACCAGUAGCAGUAAUAAUGCCAAACAAUAUGGAGGACUUAAAAAGUAUUAGGCAUUUUUGAAGUGGUUUAAGUAUAUUCACUCUUUUAAUUCUCCCAUGAGGCAGAUAUUACUUUUUUUUUUUCUUGUUAUAUACAGAUGAGUGAGGCAUAGAAUUAUACAGAUUUUAAGGUCAGACCUGAUAUAACAGCACCAGAUUUUCAGCUUAUGCAGGCUGACUCCAGAGUAGGCAUUUUAAAAUAUUUGU